CUAUAUCAAAAGUUUUCAACAUUACAGGUACUACCUGCUGCACAUUCCAACCACAUACUCUUGAAAAAUGCUUCAACAACCAGCUCAUCACAGAUUUUACAAAAGCAUUCUGAGUUAUUUUCAGACUGUUUUUCUUAAGUGCAACUUAAGAAGAGUCACCAAAACACAGCACCUGCUGGGCCAGGCAGUUGUGCACUGUGGACCAACACGUGGAUCCCAGCUGAGAGCUGCAGCGUGGGGUGGGUACGAGCGAGCGAGUCCGAGUCAUUCCUGCACACCCAGAGGUGAGGGGAAAGGUGCAGCAGGGGAGCAGGACAAGGCACAGUGCUGCACAGAUUGCCUCCAUGGGCACAAGGUGCUCAGUAGCACUCCAGAGCAAGCACAGGGCACCUCGGCUGAGGAAGCAUCCCUGGAGGCUGUACCACCCUACAAACACCUGAGUCAUAAUCCCCUGUCCUCCUCCUUCCUCUGGGAGUGGCAGCAAUUUGCUAUCCGUGUUGUUUGGGAUUUGUUUUGCGUGCAGAGGAAGAAUUUGUUAUUGCUCUCCAUCCACGUGUGGGCAUGCUGCCAGACACUGGCUCUCAAAGCAGAUUUUGGCAUCUUCUCCUUAAAGGUAACAUUCCAUCUACAACACUGAACAAUUUCUGGGUCUGUUCACCCAGCCUUUUCUAAAAGAUUUGACAGAAUAACUCUCCACAGGAAGUAAUAUGUGGCUCCCAGUCAUUUCCUCUUCGUAUCUGGGGAUGAGUGAAGCUCCUGGUAAAGGAUUUUUCCCUAAAAAAAGCAGGUCACCCCCUGAACUCAUCUAGUUCAUCGGUUUUAUAGAUAAUAGAGCAGACAAUGAAUGAUCAUUUAUCACCUUGGAAUCUCAAUUCCCUCAAGUAAUGGAGAAGCAUGUGUCUGUCCCAAAUUCUUCAUUUCCCUCCCCUCUGGACUAAUGGAGUAUGUGCAUUAGUUCAUUCAGAGAUGUCUUUCUGGUUUCCCCAUUUAACCUACUUAUCUUAAACUAUCUUAUCCUAUUUGCACCACAAUUUCUAAAAAGAUCCUACCCCAGGACAAGAUCAUUCUUGUGAAAUUUUUGUGUGUAUUGGUUUAGUUUUGGCAAAGUUAGGAGGUAGUUAAAACGAGACUUAUAAUAGAAAGCUAGCUGCUAGCAACUCUCCAUAAUACAUGUCUACCUUGCAGGAGAGUUGUGAGGAUUAAUUAAUUUGUGUUUGUUAAGCACUUUGAGAUCCUAAGAUUAAAGGUUCUAUAGAAAUGCAAAUUGUUAUUAUAACGAUAAAUUCUUUAUAUGAGCUCAUAUGUUUUGCCUUAGAGGCACAGUCUCACCCUGAGUUGCGUAGUUAUACACGUAAAUCUUCAAACAUUAUGAUGAAAAUGUACCUCUGAAAGCCUGAUCCUUCCUACUGCUCUACCACUUCAUGCAUAGAGCUGCCCUUGAUUUCAGGCAGAUCCCAUCCAUGGGACAAUUGUAGGAUUUAAUUUGUUUAGAAGAAAAGACUGUUGUGUGCCUCCAGGCUUCACACUGAAACACAAAACUUUCUGUCUCACUCCAUAAAACCGCUAUUGCUGUCAGUAGUUAUUCCAUUUUAUUAAUGAAAGGACUGAACAGAUUACAAAAUCUGGAUCUGAAUUCU
ensembl:lncRNA